GUCAGAUUACUGAGCCAGGAGGAAAAGUUCAGGCGGAGGAUGUGCUCUAACAGGUUGGAUACAGCGCCACCGUGCGGCCGUGGGUUGAACCAUAUUUACUCUUUACACCGAGUGGGCUCUAACAGCGACUUAUUUAAAGACUCUGAAGUGUCCCGUCUCCCAGCAUUAUAAAAAUCACCUUGCCGAAGUUGCCGUUGUUGAGGAAGAGAAAACAUCAGCAAGCAUGAGUCGUAAAUGUGUCUUUGGCUGUUCGAACUGGAGAUCGUCCGAUUGAUCGGUUUUGCAGACCGGUUGUCUGGAGAAAUCCACCACGGUUGCGAGAGCGGCUGAGAAGGAUCCGCUGUCAUUAUACAGGACGAGAGAGGCCUCUAGAGGUGAACAUUUUGUUGUGCUAUUUGAAGUGUUUUUUGUUGUUUUUUUUUCAAUCAUUUUAGAUGUCUCUGUUUUUAUUUGUUAUUUGGCAUGUUACUUUUUGGUUCAGAUUGGAUGUAUAUCUUUUAUUUACUUUCAUAUUUAUUAAUAAUUAACAUACAUUAAUAUUU